GAUGAACGCUGGCGGCGUGCCUAAUACAUGGAAGUCGAGCGAACAGACGAGGAGCUUGCUCCUCUGACGUUAGCGGCGGACGGGUGAGUAACACGUGGAUAACCUACCUAUAAGACUGGGAUAACUUCGGGAAACCGGAGCUAAUACCGGAUAAUAUAUUGAACCGCAUGGUUCAAUAGUGAAAGACGGUUUUGCUGUCACUUAUAGAUGGAUCCGCGCCGCAUUAGCUAGUUGGUAAGGUAACGGCUUACCAAGGCAACGAUGCGUAGCCGACCUGAGAGGGUGAUCGGCCACACUGGAACUGAGACACGGUCCAGACUCCUACGGGAGGCAGCAGUAGGGAAUCUUCCGCAAAGGGCGAAAGCUUGACGGAGCAACGCCGCGUGAGUGAUGAAGGUCUUCGGAUCGUAAAACUCUGUUAUUAGGGAAGAACAAAUGUGUAAGUAACUAUGCACGUCUUGACGGUACCUAAUCAGAAAGCCACGGCUAACUACGUG
rnacentral:rRNA from 1 species